rnacentral:misc_RNA from 1 species
GAGAUUCGAAAUGAGUGUUUCAGAUGCCACAUUUUACAAAUGAUCGCAAGCAACCUGACAAACACCACGCACCCAAGUAUCGUCGGUAACGUCGUCAAACAUGUUGAGCAUGCGAUAGGAGCUGGUGUGGCGAUUCCGUCCGCGAGGUGGCUCUACCUCAAGUGAUCUGCGAGAAUCAAAAACGCGGCAAGACUACACGCCUGUAUUUCUGUAGUAUUUUUCAGUCCCAUGUUUAGGGUGAUACGUCGCAUUUUUAGCAGUAUUGUGAACUGGGAGUUUACGAAACUGGCAGUAAUGACUGAUCCUGUAUUUCCUACAACGCUGAAAGAUUUUGGAUACGCUUUUGAUGAAGGCGGGAAACUUCGAAAGCUUGAUCAAAGCACCGGCCUCACUACUGACGGUGGAUUCGAGUUUAACGUUACCGAAGACCAUGCUUACAAUCAGAAACGAUACGAAGCGCUCGGUCAGGUAAUUGAUUUGCACAUCUAUGACCUCCUAGAGAAAGAAGGUCUGAAAAAAUUGUUCGUGCCGAAGGAGGCGUCGUCAAAGGCACCGGAGCUAAAGUCGUUCAUAUUCGUUAGCGAAGACGCAUUGCUGAACGACAAGCUUAUGAUAUUGAUACAUGGCAGCGGAGUUGUAAGAGCCGGUCAAUGGGCAAGGCGAUUAAUUAUAAACGACAAUCUAGAGACCGGCACGCAGUUGCCUUACAUAAGAAAAGCACGAGAGCUUGGAUACGCGGUAAUGGUUCUCAACACAAACGACAAUUUCCGUACCGUAAACGGAAAGCCGACUGAAAUACCGGGUAGCAAGGAUCCUCAUAGUCACGUCGAAACCGUCUGGAAGCAGUACAUCGAGCCCUCGAAUGCGAAGCACGUAGCAAUCGUUGCGCACAGCUACGGUGGCGUUUGCGUCGUUAAAUUGGCCGUAGACCAUGCGGAAGAAUUUCGACGCAGAGUAUUUGCCGUCGGACUAACCGACUCUGUGCACAUGAUUACUUCAGCAAAAGACACAAAACACAUUUUGAAGGUGGCGCGAAAUUGGGUAUCCUCAGAGAAGCCCCUGGACACCCCGGAGCGAUCGCCUGACGGUGACAUCGAACGGUGUUCUGCGGGACAUGCGAUCCACGAGAUGACGUCGUACUCCUGCAUGGAGUCCCUUUUCCAAUUCGUAGAGGAGAGGUUCAACGAGGCGAGAGGAAAAUCCGAUCUCUGAACGAUUCCGCAUCUCCAGUUUACGAUUUUGUCUUCAUAUUUUUUUUUUUUUUUUUACACUAUAAUAUUCCUUUUUUUUUUUUUAUCAUCACUACCGACAGACGAGGGGAUGCAGGGAAAUAUCAACUGUGUACCUCAACGGUAGAACUUGGCGGACACAAAACAGUCCUGCCAUCGUGCAAGCGUCAAAGCGUAAUUUCGUUAUGGGGUUGUAAUUGUAUUACCGGCGUUCUCGGCCGGCGGCACAAAUUAUAGUGUCAAUGUAACGACAAAGGGCAUGAUGUUACACAAUAAUAAAAUGAUUGCCUUAGUCGGUGAGAAUAACCUUCCGAAAAACUGACGCACCCUGCUCGUUAUUACUUAUACGUGAAUAUACGCAUCUGCCGUGCGAGGAUUUAAUUAUCUAUGUAAAAACUAUUACGUACAUGCAAUAUUUAUGUGUAUAUGGGAUCGAAAUUUUUCAUCAAAUCGUUUUUAAAUCAUCGGCGAUAACGAAGGAAGGAAAAUUUAUAACUGAAAUUGAAAGGAGAUAAAAUCUUUUACCGCAUCCCGACAAAUAUAGUAAUUUUCAAGAAUCGCAAUGAAAAUACAUAUCUGAUA